rnacentral:rRNA from 1 species
CAGUCGCCACGGUAACACGAAGGGGGCUAGCGUUGUUCGGAAUUACUGGGCGUAAAGCGCGCGUAGGCGGAUAUUUAAGUCAGGGGCGAAAUCCCGCAGCUCAACUGCGGAACUGCCUUUGAUACUGGGUAUCUUGAGUAUGGAAGAGGUUAGUGGAAUUGCGAGUGUAGAGGUGAAAUUCGUAGAUAUUCGCAGGAACACCAGUGGCGAAGGCGGCUAACUGGUCCAUAACUGACGCUGAGGUGCGAAAGCGUGGGGAGCAAACAGGAUUAGAUACCCCUGUAGUCCCUGUCUCUUAUAC